CUAAUCAAAUUUGAUUUGAAUCAAACCGUUAUCAUCUCUGUAUCAUACUGUCAUCUCCCUCGCCAAAGAACAUUAUCAUCUCUGUAUCAUACUGUCAUCUCCCUCGCCAAAGAACAUUAUCAUCUCUGUAUCAUACUGUCAUCUCCCUCGCCAAAGAACAUUAUCAUCUCUGUAUCAAACCGACAUCUCUGUAUCAUACUGUUAUCUCCCUCGCCAAAGAACAUUAUCAUCUCUGUAUCAUACUGUUAUCUCCCUCGCCAAAGAACAUUAUUGUCUCUGUAUCAUACUGUUAUCUCCCUCGCCAAAGAACAUUAUCAUCUCUGUAUCAAACUGUCAUCUCCCUCGCCAAAGAACAUUAUCAUCUCUGUAUCAAACGUCAUCAUCUCUGUAUCAUACUGUCAUCUCCGUCGCCAAAGAACAUUAUCAUCUCUGUAUCAUACUGUCAUCUCCCUCGCCAAAGAACAUUAUCAUCUCUGUAUCAUACUGUCAUCUCCCUCGCCAAAGAACAUUAUCAUCUCUGUAUCAUACUGUCAUCUCCCUCGCCAAAGAACAUUAUCAUCUCUGUAUCAUCCUGUCAUCUCCGUCGCCAAAGAACAUUAUCAUCUCUGUAUCAUACUGUCAUCUCCCUCGCCAAAGAACAUUAUCAUCUCUGUAUCAUACUGUUAUCUCCCUCGCCAAAGAACAUUAUCAUCUCUGUAUCAUACUGUUAUCUCCCUCGCCAAAGAACAUUAUCAUCUCUGUAUCAUACUGUCAUCUCCCUCGCCAAAGAACAUUAUCAUCUCUGUAUCAUACUGUCAUCUCCCUCGCCAAAGAACAUUAUCGUCUCUGUAUCAUACUGUUAUCUCCCUCGCCAAAGAACAUUAUCAUCUCUGUAUCAUACUGUUAUCUCCCUCGCCAAAGAACAUUAUCAUCUCUGUAUCAUACUGUCAUCUCCCUCGCCAAAGAACAUUAUCAUCUCUGUAUCAUACUGUUAUCUCCCUCGCCAAAGAACAUUAUCAUCUCUGUAUCAUACUGUCAUCUCCCUCGCCAAAGAACAUUAUCAUCUCUGUAUCAUACUGUCAUCUACCUCGCCAAAGAACAUUAUCAUCUCUGUAUCAUACUGUCAUCUCCCUCGCCAAAGAACAUAAUCAUCUCUGUAUCAAACUGUUAUCUCCCCCUCAGAGAACCAUUGUCAGCUCCGUAUCAUACCGUUAUCUCCCCCUCAGAAGGAUAUUAUCAUCUCUGUAUCAAACCGUUAUCUCCCCCUCAGAGAACCAUUGUCAGCUCCGUAUCAUACCGUUAUCUCCCCCUCAGAAGGAUAUUAUCAUCUCUGUAUCAAACCGUUAUCUCCCCCUCAGAGAACCAUUGUCAGCUCCGUAUCAUACCGUUAUCUCCCCCUCCGAAAGACCACACCAUGCGUCCGUCCUGAGCCACAGCCAUGGUGUGAGAGCUACCGCAGGCCGCCUGACCCACUCCACUGAUAUCCUUCACCAGCGUAGGCACGUUACGACUGUGGCUGUCACUGUGGCCUGGAGAGACAGAGAAAGACUGUCAUGA
rnacentral:lncRNA from 1 species